rnacentral:lncRNA from 1 species
AGCCCUCGCCGCCGCCCACCCUCUUUCCCCGCGCCGCAGUAGCAGCAAACUUGUGCCACUGCUGGAUCAUCUUCGAGAGUUUCUUUGCAUGAAUCAUUUUUUUUUCCUUUUUUUUUAGCAAUGUGUUUUUUUGAAGUGGGAAUUUUUUUGCAGGUGGGAUUUAUACGAGGGAAGGUGGAGACAGAAUUUCAGAUGAUGCCUAAAAUCAAUGGCUGCAACAGCAUGUGACGUUGGGUUACAUGGGACCUGGAUUAGACAGAAAUGUCUAAUGGCAAUGUAUUUAGGUAAAACUUGUUUGCUAAUUCCUUUGAGAAAACAUGAUGCUCCCUUCAAAUCUUGCCUUCUGCUCAAACAAAGCCACACAAAAAUAUAACUUCAUCAUAAUUAGACAAUCAGCAUUUAAUCAUAUUUGCAUAUCUUGUUUCAAAGGGCACUCCAUAUGCGCAACAUUUCUUUAUAAUUUAUGCCAAAUUGUCGAAAAUCAGGCACAAAUAUGAUGGGGCUGAAGAUGCAUGAAGCUGCAAGUUUUGGGCUAAGUUCAAUUGUGACUUUAUAAAAAAUUUCAAUUACAUUAACAUUAACUCAAACUUUGUAAUGUGAAGGUUUAUAUCUUGGCCCAUUGCUAUAACAUAGAUCAAUGUUUUAGCAAACUUUAGAUGGAAUAUAUAAUAAGAGUAGUAAAUGAUCUAAAAAUAUCCAAAUCAUGCUUGCAAGUUGCAACGACUUAAAUGGGCCUUUUAAGAAUCAAGGUGUAAUGGGCCCAAAACAGUUAUGGGCUUGUGGAAGUUUUAGUAGUCCAAUUCAAGCGAAGCAGAUCUGUAAAAUACUCGAUUCAUUCGCAAGUAUGAUCAAUUGAUAACAAGAAGAUAUUGAAACGUUUUCAAUCGAUGAAUACACGUCGAAAUUAAUUCUCAUUGCUUUCUCAAAUAGACUCAACUAGCUCGCCAAAUAUCUAUUUUUAAGUUAUUUGUAAUGUAUUAAAAUUAUAUAAUCUAUGAAAAUGUUGUUCAUUAUUAUUCUAUUAUGCUUGUUUUUUAAGAAUAAAUGCCAAAAUAUACGGAAUGCCAAAUUUUUGGCAGGGGCUACUGCCCUCGAACCCCGUACAAGUUCACCCUCUUAAUGAAAAUUCUUGGCUCCGCCUAGUACAUGUAUCGAUACAUUUUGAGAACCAUGUAAAUCAUUGCCAAUUUGCAUGUGAAAGUUUUGUAGAAUAUGAUUAAUUGUUAGUGGAUUAAUUGAAUUAUGGGGCAACCUAACGAUCCAUAGAUGUUUGUUGUUGAUCAUAUAUAAUUUUCAGAAUUAAUUAUAAUACAAACAUUAUUUGGAGUACUUCCCAUGCCACUUCAAAUAAAAUCCUCUACUUGAUUAUUACUGCAGGCAUAUUUGAUGAUUUGGAUGGGAUAUCAUCGGUAACAUUCUUUCUUAGCAUAUAAUACUCCGUUCGUCCCACUAGCUAAAAGUGGCAUGUAUUCUAUUUUGGAUCGUCUCACUAUAACUCUAUAAGUGACCUAUUUUCAUAGAAAAAUUUAACCCUUAACAAAAUAUGAGAUCUACUAUUUUUAACAAAUUUAUAUAUUUUCCUUAAUUCUCGUGCCGAAAAGUUUUGAGUCACUUAUAGUGGGACAGAUGAAGUAUUAUUUAGAUGAAUUAAUGAUUUCUACAAUCUUAGUUUCCUGAUUCGCCAUCGUAUUCGUGGGCAUGAUGAAUGAUUUUCCACGAAAUUUGUCAUCUGCAG